rnacentral:lncRNA from 1 species
AGAUGAGCUGACAGACCCUGGCUGAGCAGGAAGUGGCAGGGUCAGGAAAAGCUAGGCCACAAGUUUUCCCUUGAGAGCCUUAGAGUCUAGCCCUGUCGCCCAGGCUGGAGUGCCAUGGUUUGAACUCUACUCACCGCAACCUCCACCUCCCAGGUUCAAAUGAUUCUCCUGCCUCAGCCUCCUGAAUAUCUGGGAUUACAGGCUGGAGUGCGAUGGCGCGAUCUCUACUCACUGCAACCUCCAUCUCCUGGGUUCAAGCAAUUCUCCCUCAGCCUCCCGAGUAGCUAGGACUACAGAGCCUCCCUCUGGAGCGAAGUGGCAUAAUCUCGGCUCACUGCAACCUCUGCCUCCCAGGUUCAAGCGAUUCUCAUGUCUCGGCCUCUUGAGUAACUGGGAUUACAGGUGUCUUUGUGAAGCUUCCUAUCUUUGCUUUUCAACUAAGAUGAAACAGCAUUUAAAAGAAAAUGCCAUGUGAGAUGAGAUCAGGAGAAUGGAUUCUUUCUUUCAUCUGAAUAGAGAGCUGCUGUUCGAGAUUCUAACUCAAAUAGCUCAAAGGACACCUUCUCCGGGAAACCUUCCCUGACUUCCGACGCUGUUUCCUGUUGGGCAUCUAUGUAAAUCAUUUGGAGUUUUUGCCUUUCCUCUUAGAAGAAAAAUAUGAAUGAUUUGACUGAACAGGCCUAUAGCCAAACCCAAGAUGAUCUUUCCAAGCGUGAACUCCAUCUUCAAACUUCUAGUGAGUCUGAGGCCGCAACUGGAAAAAUUUAGAAAUAAUUUCUAAUUCUUGAAAUCUUUGAAAUGUCAAAACAUUAAAACUUUAAGUUUUUGUAUCUUGUUUAAUGUUUAACAAUUUUCUGAAACUUUGGAAAUUAUGUAGGUAUUCUAUUUUGUUAGUUUGGCUUAGCAUAUAUAAAUAGAGCUAUGUCUACAUAUUAAUAGUAGUCUUGUUUUACCUUACCUUUGUUUUUUUGUUGUUGUUGUAUGCCAUCUAGAUCUUAAACCUUAAAGAAGAAACUAUGGCAAUGUCUCUUCCACCACUCUUGACUAGCAUGAUGUGUUGCCAAAAGACUUCAGAUCAUAAGUGCGAAAUAAAAAAUCAAAAAUUGA